AUCACUCGUAGCAAGCUGUCCACGAGAACAUGGAUAUUUCAUAGCUGUCCACGAGAACAUGGAUAUUUCAUAGCUGUCCAUGAGAACAUGUUUCCAGUUUCCAUUUAAUCAUCAAAAAACAAUUUCCACUAUUUUUAAUGAUUUUUUUUUAUAGUUAUUAUUUUUAUGUUUUUUCGGAACAAAAUAUGUCCGAUUUGCUUUAAAUUUUGUCAAAAUAAAAGGUAAAAACAAUAUUUUUGUGGUUGAUUUUAGUAAAUGUGUGUCUCUAGAACAUCUGUGUACAAUUUGAGUCUGUUCCAAAGUCAUUCAGUUAGUCAAAAUAUUAUUUUUUCAAUUUUGCCUGUUUUUGACGGAUUUGGGGAAAACGCUGCUUACGUAUGGGUAUAUAAAAUUAGCUUCAAAAAACAAAGUUAUGAACCGAUUGUCAUAAUUGAAAAAGAUUAAUGAUUCUCAGGUGUUUUUCUAACUGUGUGCAAAAUUUCAGGUCUGUAGCUCAAAAAUUGAAUUUUGGUUGGCACAUGCUACCUAUAUUUUUCGAAAUCCUCAAUUAAAAAAUAUCUAUUACUUAAAUGACCAAAUAUUCCUGUCUUGUUUUACUUUAAGGUGGUCCUUAACCUUUUGUCAGUUGUAUUUAUUUUUAUAACUUACUUGCACCACCGGCACUGUUUGCGGGAGUUCCAACACCUCCUAUAGAAUUCAACUCAUUGUUAAAAAUAUAAUUUGCGGGUCACGGAAAGAUAACUCUGUUUGGAAACAUGGUUUGGUGUAGAGGAGUAACCGAAGUUGGCCGAGUGAAAUCUGCAGCCGGUUGCCGAGUGAAAAAUAGAAAGUAACUCAUUGAAGAUCCAGUAUUGUGCGUAAGGUUUAGCUUCUACCUACUUUUACGAAAUUUCUUGAUUUCUUGAUCAUUUUAAUUAAAAGCAAAGCGAUUAUGGCUGAACUUUGUCUCUUCGGCCAUUCUUUCAUUGAUCGUGUACGAUCGAGCGUAGGUUAUAGACUACCACUUCAGUUGGGUGGGGGAGGACGGAUCCAUCAUGUUUUCCGCAGUGGUGGGACGUCACGAAAUUUAAGACAGGAUGUAGGAAAGAUUCCUGUUAGUGUUGCUGUGGUUUUCGUUCAGACUGGGGGUAAUGACAUAGGUCCACAUCAACAGACUGUUCACAUUGCUGACGACAUAAUUAACUUUAGUUAAUUUGAUUCGUCAGCAAUGUCCAUGGGCUGUUAUUGAUAUUGUUGUGGGCAGUUUGUUUGUUCGCCGCAAACCUCGUCAUCUGGAUGAAAGCCAGUACAACACGGUUAGGGUUACUGUGAACAACCUGCUCCGCCACAGGUUGUCAUUUUUAUAUCGAGUGCUUUUUGGGAAUUCCAGUCGGAAGAUGAGGUAUAGGGCAUUGCACUUCGAUCAUUGGGGAGUUCACCUUAAUGCUGCAGGCAAUCGUCUUUUUGCGAAUUCGGUUCUUGCAGCAUUUAAGAUGGCUCUUUCCCUAUUCAACGAGUGAACUGUUCACUUAUUAAUUCUAUCGUUGUCCCUUUUCUUGGUGGGAGCAUUAUUGUUGAAUAAUGCACCACAAUAACGGCUACCGGUAGCCUUUAAUUUUGAAAGCUGAACCUUAAAAACGUGAAUGUGGUGUUUGAGUUUUGACAUAAUAUAAUAUGACUGAUCUACAAAACACAUUAUUAGAAAUAUCAGGUCAAAAGAAUAUGCAUGACAACCAAAAAGGAUAAUAAAGUAGAAGAAAUAACAGGUGAAACAUUUAUGAUUAUAAUAGCUACAGGUGAACGUCCCAGACCUAGUUCUAAAGAAUAUACAAUAACCUGUGAUGAUUUAUUUUCUCUACCAUACUGUCCCAGUGAAACACUAUGUAUUGGUGCUUCGUAUGUAUCAUUAGAAUGUGCUGGAUUUUUAGCCGGAUUAGGUUUAGAUGUAACAGUUAUGGUACAAUCUGUAUUAUUACGUGGUUUUGAUCAACAGAUAGCAGAAUAUAUGUCAGAACAUAAAAGAUUUUUCCACAGAGGUUAUGUUCCUAUGAAGUGUGAUUAUCAGACUUUAGCAACAACAGUAUUAUUCCAAUUGAAUAUGGUUGUAUUGGUUAUUCAGAAGAAGCUGCACUUGAAAAAUUUGGAGCAGAUAAUAUAGAGAUAUUUACUUAUAACAAAGAGAAGUGGAGGUGAUACGGCUGUAGCAGGUUGCUGAGAUUAAUUAAUUCCCUGUUGUUACUUAAGAAAAACAAUUACCUCUCUUAAAUAACAUUUACCAUCAUACUUGAAGUGAGGAAAUCAUAUCCAAUUCUAGAUAUUAAUUUAACUUAUUACAAAUUGAAUUGAACUUAUUAAAAAUUGUCUCAAUUUUCCGGUGAAAUUCAUUAAAGGUUUUGAUAUAUGAUAAAUUUACUUUUAAGAGAAUUCCUAUUUAAGAUGUGUGUAUUUUGUUUUUCUUGACGACAACAGGGGUCAAAUUGACCAGGUCAUGUUGAGGACAGGUGCACAGAUGUGUACACAGGCUGUAUGAUAGAUUUUUUCUGAAACCUACCUGUAGGGUAAACAAAACUUGAUGAUACCUAUCUCCAAAACAUGGCGUUUAUGAAAAGGACUUUAUUGUAUGAGAAAUAAAGUCAUAUGCUCUUUUAA